UUUUAUGGAGAGUUUGAUCCUGGCUCAGGAUGAACGCUGGCGGCGUGCCUAAUACAUGCAAGUCGAGCGAACGGACGAGAAGCUUGCUUCUCUGAUGUUAGCGGCGGACGGGUGAGUAACACGUGGAUAACCUACCUAUAAGACUGGGAUAACUUCGGGAAACCGGAGCUAAUACCGGAUAAUAUUUUGAACCGCAUGGUUCAAAAGUGAAAGACGGUCUUGCUGUCACUUAUAGAUGGAUCCGCGCUGCAUUAGCUAGUUGGUAAGGUAACGGCUUACCAAGGCAACGAUGCAUAGCCGACCUGAGAGGGUGAUCGGCCACACUGGAACUGAGACACGGUCCAGACUCCUACGGGAGGCAGCAGUAGGGAAUCUUCCGCAAUGGGCGAAAGCCUGACGGAGCAACGCCGCGUGAGUGAUGAAGGUCUUCGGAUCGUAAAACUCUGUUAUUAGGGAAGAACAUAUGUGUAAGUAACUGUGCACAUCUUGACGGUACCUAAUCAGAAAGCCACGGCUAACUACGUGCCAGCAGCCGCGGUAAUACGUAGGUGGCAAGCGUUAUCCGGAAUUAUUGGGCGUAAAGCGCGCGUAGGCGGUUUUUUAAGUCUGAUGUGAAAGCCCACGGCUCAACCGUGGAGGGUCAUUGGAAACUGGAAAACUUGAGUGCAGAAGAGGAAAGUGGAAUUCCAUGUGUAGCGGUGAAAUGCGCAGAGAUAUGGAGGAACACCAGUGGCGAAGGCGACUUUCUGGUCUGUAACUGACGCUGAUGUGCGAAAGCGUGGGGAUCAAACAGGAUUAGAUACCCUGGUAGUCCACGCCGUAAACGAUGAGUGCUAAGUGUUAGGGGGUUUCCGCCCCUUAGUGCUGCAGCUAACGCAUUAAGCACUCCGCCUGGGGAGUACGACCGCAAGGUUGAAACUCAAAGGAAUUGACGGGGACCCGCACAAGCGGUGGAGCAUGUGGUUUAAUUCGAAGCAACGCGAAGAACCUUACCAAAUCUUGACAUCCUUUGACAACUCUAGAGAUAGAGCCUUCCCCUUCGGGGGACAAAGUGACAGGUGGUGCAUGGUUGUCGUCAGCUCGUGUCGUGAGAUGUUGGGUUAAGUCCCGCAACGAGCGCACCCCUUAAGCUUAGUUGCCAUCAUUAAGUUGGGCACUCUAAGUUGACUGCCGGUGACAAACCGGAGGAAGGUGGGGAUGACGUCAAAUCAUCAUGCCCCUUAUGAU
rnacentral:rRNA from 1 species